AACGAACGCUGGCGGCAUGCCUAACACAUGCAAGUCGAACGAAGGCUUCGGCCUUAGUGGCGCACGGGUGCGUAACGCGUGGGAAUCUGCCCUUUGCUUCGGAAUAACAGUUAGAAAUGACUGCUAAUACCGGAUGAUGUCGCAAGACCAAAGAUUUAUCGGCAAAGGAUGAGCCCGCGUAGGAUUAGCUAGUUGGUGGGGUAAAGGCCUACCAAGGCGACGAUCCUUAGCUGGUCUGAGAGGGUGAUCAGCCACACUGGGACUGAGACACGGCCCAGACUCCUACGGGAGGCAGCAGUGGGGAAUAUUGGACAAUGGGCGAAAGCCUGAUCCAGCAAUGCCGCGUGAGUGAUGAAGGCCUUAGGGUUGUAAAGCUCUUUUACCCGGGAUGAUAAUGACAGUACCGGGAGAAUAAGCUCCGGCUAACUCCGUG
rnacentral:rRNA from 1 species